AAAGGGCGUAACUGCCCGCCCCGGGAGAGGCUCACGUCCUAUCAGCUAGUUGGUGGGGUAACAGCCUACCAAGGCAAUGACGGGUAGCUGGACUGAGAGGUCGGUCAGCCACAACUGCACUGAGACACGGGCAGUACACCUACGGGUGGCAGCAACUAGGAAUAUUGGGCAAUGGGCGAAAGCCUGACCCAGCGACGCCGCGUGGAGGAAGAAGGCCUUAGGGUCGUAAACUCCUUUUUUCCGACUCUUCACGGUCGGAAGAAUAAGCCUCUACUAACUACGUGCCAGAAGUCUCGGUAAUACGUAGGAGGCAAGCGUUAUCCGGAUUCAUUGGGCGUAAAGUGUGCGUAGGCGGUUUGAUGUGUCCUUGUUUAAAUACCCCGACUUAAUCGGGGGAAAGGUAAGGAAACUAUCGGACUUGAGGAUUGGCAGGGGUGCUGGAACAGCUAGUGUAGCAGUGAAAUGCGUUGAUAUUAGCUGGAACACCAAAGGCGAAGGCAGGCACCUAGGCUUUUCUCUGACGCUGAGGCACGAAAGCUAGGGGAGCGAAACAGAUUAGAGACCUGUGUAGUCCUAGCCGUAAACGAUGUCCGCUAGGUACAACCGGUGGAGCGUGUGGUUCAAUUCGAGACGAAACGAAGAACCUCACCAGGGCUUGACAUGGUACCGUUUAUUCCGCUGGAAACAGUGGGAAAUCCGCAAGGAUGGUAUCACAGGUGUUGCAUGGCUAUCCCGCUUAGCGGGAGAUGGCCGUCCCGAUAGUAAUAUCGGGAAAAAAUAACCAACCCAAAACGGUGAAGCCCUAAUUGACUUUCGUAUAACUUUCGAGUUAUGCUGAGGUUGAUGGGUAAUACCGUGGGAAGCUUGAUUCGGUGAAUAAGUAAAACAGUAAGCCGGUAAGGCGGUAGUCAGUAGAAUAGUACUUAAUCCUUGUGUUAGACUAAUUAGGAUGUCUACUAUUUGGAAUGUUAGACAAUUAAGGGUUUAUCAAAGAGUUUUAAAGCUUCUGCCAACUCUCUACGAUUUAGUUUAUUCAAUUCCUGAAAAUCAUCAGAAAUUGAGAAGACAAAUUCUAAGUUGCGGAGAAGGAAUUGCUCCUCUAAUAGCUGAGGGUUUUGCUAAAAGGAGAAACAUAGCAGAAUUCUUGAGGUUUUUGGAAAUGGCAAUGGCAGAAAGUGACGAGCUUGUAACUCAUAUUGAACAAGUAAAGAUUCUAUCGAAUAGAUUUAAGAUAAUAAAGAUUCAGCUGUGUCCGAAGUUAAUACAAGAAUAUACGAUAGUUUCUAAAGAGCUUUAUAAUCUUGGAAGAAAUUGGAAUAAAUUUCCAAAAAAGUAAGUACGGUUUUACUGAUUACCGCUUUACUGCACUACAGUUUUACGGUUUUACCAGUCAUAGCCCCGUAGAGACUGAUAUCCGAAUUGAGAUCGGAUUGAGAAUAUUUUUUAAUAGUUAUUCAGACGGUUGGUACCCUACCAGAUGGUAGGGUAAAGGUAUAGUCCGUGCUCAUGGAAACAUGAGAGUAACAUGGUCGUCAGCUCGUGCCGUGAGGUGUUCCCUUAAGUGGGGAAACGAGCGCAACCCCCAUCCAAUGUUAAAUAUUCAUUGGAGACAGGUCCAGCUCAGCUGGACAGGAAGGAGGGGAAGACGUCAAGUCAGCACGGCCCUUAUGCCCUGGGCCACACACACACUACAAUGGCGAAUAACAACGGGCUGCAAGCCGGCAACGGCAAGCAAAUCCCUGAAAUUUCGCCUCAGUUCAGAUUGGGGGCUGAAACCCGCCCUCAUGAAGUCGGAAUCGGUAGUAAUCGCGGAUCAGCAAGCCGCGGUGAAUACGUUCUCGGGUCUUGUACA
rnacentral:rRNA from 1 species